rnacentral:rRNA from 1 species
GACGAACGCUGGCGGCGUGCCUAAUACAUGCAAGUCGAACGCAGUGGGGACGGGUGAGUAACACGUGGGUAACCUCCCAUCAGAGGGGAUAAAACUUGGGAACAGGUGCUAAAACCGAAAAUGGUGGAUGGACCAGCUGUGCAUUAGCUAGGUGGUGAGGUAACGGCGCACCAAGGGCACGAUGCAUAGCCGACCUGAGAGGUUGACCGGCCACACUGGGACUGAACCACGGCCAAGCCUCCUACGGAAGGCAGCAGUGGGGAAUCUGCGGAAAUGGACGAAAUCCUGAGCGAGAAACGCCGGGUGAGUGAAGAAGGUUUUAGGAUUGUAAAACCCUGUUGUCAGAGAAGCGGUAUCUAACCAGAAAGCCACGGCUAACUACGUGCCAGCAGCCGCGGUAAUAC